rnacentral:rRNA from 1 species
ACCUCCCUCUUUCUUCAUGCCUAACACAUGCAAGUCGAACGAGACCUUCGGGUCUAGUGGCGCACGGGUGCGUAACGCGUGGGAACCUGCCCUUAGGUUCGGAAUAACUCCCCGAAAGGGGUGCUAAUACCGGAUAAUGUCUUCGGACCAAAGAUUUAUCGCCUUUGGAUGGGCCCGCGUUGGAUUAGCUAGUUGGUAGGGUAAAAGCCUACCAAGGCGACGAUCCAUAGCUGGUCUGAGAGGAUGAUCAGCCACACUGGGACUGAGACACGGCCCAGACUCCUACGGGAGGCAGCAGUGGGGAAUAUUGGACAAUGGGCGAAAGCCUGAUCCAGCAAUGCCGCGUGAGUGAUGAAGGCCUUAGGGUUGUAAAGCUCUUUUACCCGGGAUGAUAAUGACAGUACCGGGAGAAUAAGCUCCGGCUAACUCCGUG